GAAAGUAAAAAAAUAAAAGUCAAACGUCAAUUAUUUGUCAAACCUGUAGCUGUUGUUAAACCCUAUGUGCCCGAAAAUGCUUAUAAAGCGCCUCAAAAUUAUGUACCUCAAGUGGUUGAAACAAGACCACUUGAGGAAUCAGAUGAGGAAACAUACGAAGACCAAUUGGAAAUCUACGACGAUAUUCCAGAAAUAGACGAUGAACAAGUUCGCAUACUCGAUGGUAUUAUGAUUCGUAUUGAUCGUCAUUUAAACGACGGCAUAAUGAAU